rfam:Ictidomys tridecemlineatus contig023776, whole genome shotgun sequence.
CGAGUUGUGGCUCAGCAGUAGAGCACUUGCUUAGCACGUGUGAGGCCCUGGGUUCGAUCCUCAGCACCACAU